rnacentral:lncRNA from 1 species
CAAAUAGAAGAUUGUGGAUCCCUGGGAACGCAGAGCAGGAAUGCGUGGCAGGAAGGAAUCUCCCAGGGAUUCACAGUUCACCCCUAAAUCAAUCCGUGGGGCCCGAGGGGCAAAGUAUCUGAGUGACCCAGCCCUCAGUCUUGUGUCCGUUCCUGAGAAGGAGCUCAGCCUUGCCCCUCAGGAGCUGCAUGUACCAAAGACCACAGAUGGAGGCGUGACACAGACUGUCCACUGCAGAGACCAUGGACGGAGGCAGCCUCCGAGCCAGCCCAGCAGCCAUGGACGGAGGAGCCUUGGAGCCAGCCCAGCAGCUCUCCGCACUGGAGGGGUGGACGGGACAGGACCGGCUGCUCAUUCCACGCUGGAGGGAGGCCAGGAGUCUCAGCUGGAUGCAGUCACCUGACCUGGAGAGUUCAAAGUGCCUAACACAGGAAGGUCCUGGAGGGGAUGGCCUGGGAUGGGCUAGGACCCGGUUCCCACCUCAGGAGGCCUCUGGCCAUGGAAGUGCUAAGGUGCCUAGUAUCCGUCUGUCCGGGUGACUCUGGCUUGGGGGUUGGGUGGCGGGAUGCUGCUACCCACAAGCCUGGAUCCUGGCGUGCUCCGCGGCUCUCCUUCAAGCCCUGGCCUCAUCAGACCUCCAAGGCUCCCUAGACAGGGUUAAUUAUUCACGUGGCCUGGGACCCAGGGUUCGUUUGUUUGUUUUUCCCGACACAGUAGGGUCCACGAGGAAGUCAGGAUCCACCGGCAAUAUUUGCAGUGUUAUGUUGAAUGUGGCAACUGGCUGCGUGAGGAUAGAGAAGUAAACAGCAUGUCCGGUGGCAGUCGGUUACCACACAGAAUUUAGGAGGCCCAGUGAAAUGCAAAUGCUAGGUAAGUGACACGUAAGUUUUUGAUAUAAGCAUAUCCCAGGCAACAUUUAUUUAUUGGAAAUUGAAACUCACAUUUAACCGGCCAUAUUAUUUUUUUUAAAUUUUUUUGUUCUCUAAAUCUAUCUUUUGUUUGCCGAAUUUCUAGCAACCUUAGAUGGAGAGGUGGCUCUGAGAUUAGCAUCCCCACAGGCCCACCUCUGGCUGGAGAGACAAAGGGAGGUGGGGUGCUGCCGGGGAGGGAGAGCCAAGGUCUACUUCCACGCCGCUCCCAGACCUGGGGCCAGAGGCCCGCUUGCUGGGGGCUGGGGCUCAGAGGGGAGCGAGCGGCUGCUGUCAGGCUGUCUGAAAAUGCUGUGCGGAUUCCCCGAUUUUCUCUCGCCUGGCAGGUCACCUGGCCCACACUCUCCUCCCCUGAUCCCCUGAGUGCUCCCCUCCCCCUGCAGGUCCCCCUCCCCUCUGGGUGAGCCUGGAUGCCAGCACCCUGUUCCGCCCGCCCAGCAUGCAGAACAAAAGCACAACGCACAGAAACACAGCCGGUGCGCGCAGGGCGGCAGGCUGGCUUCUCCCUCCCUCCUGCCGAGGUCUCCGGCCCCUUCCCCCUUCCCUCCUUCCCUCCCCUCUCCUCUUCUAUUAGAAAAUGGGAGUGUUAGGGUUGAAUUGUGUCCCCCCAAAACAGGUAUGUUGGGGUCCUGAUUCCCAGUCCCCUAGAAUGUGACCGUGCUUGGAGAUAAGACCUUUACAGAGUAACUGAUUAAAAUGAGGUCAUUAGCAGGGACCCUAGUGCAGCAUGACUGGUGUCCUUUCAAAAAGGAGAAAUUUGGAUACAGACAUAGACACACACUGAGGGAAGGUGAAGUAAAGGGGCAAGGAGAAGACGGCCUGCAACGGGAGUGACGCCCUUACAAGCCGAGGGACGCCUGGCAGUGCCAGCUGACACCAGGAGCAGGGAGAGGCCAGGAAGCCUGGCAGUGCCAGCUGACACCAGGAGCAGGGAGAGGCCUGGAACGGUUCUCCCUGGAGACAUCCGGGACACACCUUGAUUUCAGGAUUCCAUGAUAGCUUCCAGAACUGCCAAAGAACGCAUUUCUGUGUUUUCAGCCACCCAGUCUGUGGUAUCUUGUGACUGCCGCCCUAGGAAAGUAAAACAAGGAGUUAAUUCAUGAAGGGUGGGGGAAAUACGUACCCUUUGAAAUACCACCUAGAGGAAGGGGUAAUAGUACACCCGAUCAUGUGCUCCAGUUUAUGAAAUAGUUGCACGUCACUCGGAAUUUUGAAAAACAAUAUAUUUUCAGGACU